GAUGAACGCUGGCGGCGUGCCUAAUACAUGCAAGUCGAGCGAAUGGAUUAAGAGCUUGCUCUUAUGAAGUUAGCGGCGGACGGGUGAGUAACACGUGGGUAACCUGCCCAUAAGACUGGGAUAACUCCGGGAAACCGGGGCUAAUACCGGAUAACAUUUUGAACCGCAUGGUUCGAAAUUGAAAGGCGGCUUCGGCUGUCACUUAAGGAUGGACCCGCGUCGCAUUAGCUAGUUGGUGGGGUAACGGCUCACCAAGGCAACGAUGCGUAGCCGACCUGAGAGGGUGAUCGGCCACACUGGGACUGAGACACGGCCCAGACUCCUACGGGAGGCAGCAGUAGGGAAUCUUCCGCAAUGGACGAAAGUCUGACGGAGCAACGCCGCGUGAGUGAUGAAGGCUUUCGGGUCGUAAAACUCUGUUGUUAGGGAAGAACAAGUGCUAGUUGAAUAAGCUGGCACCUUGACGGUACCUAACCAGAAAGCCACGGCUAACUACGUGCCAGCAGCCGCGGUAA
rnacentral:rRNA from 1 species